rnacentral:lncRNA from 12 species
ACCAAACCCCAGAAUGGGAAGGGAAGGAUUCACCAAACCCCAGAAUGGGAAGGGAAGGAUUCACCAAACCCCAGAAUGGGAAGGGCAGGACUCACCAAACCCCAAAAUCAGGGAGCUUGAGCCAGGGGUUCCUGCAGGGAGAAGGACUCGGAGCUGAACCAGAAGCGGCCCCAGUACAUCAAGGCCAAGGAGAACACGUCGCACAAGAUCAAGAAGCUGGAGGCGGCGCGCAAGUCGCUGCAGAACGCGCAGAAGCAGUACAAGAAACGCAAGGCUGACAUGGACGAGCUGGAGAAGGAGAUGCUGUCCGUGGAGAAAUCCAGGCAGGAGUUCGAGGAGCGCAUGGAGGAGGAGAGCCAGAGCCAGGGCAGGGACCUGACCCUGGAGGAGAACCAGGUGAAGAAGUACCACCGGCUGAAGGAGGAGGCCAGCAAGCGCGCGGCCACGCUGGCCCAGGAGCUGGAGAAGUUCAACCGCGACCAAAAGGCCGACCAGGACCGGCUGGACCUGGAGGAGAGGAAGAAGGUGGAGACUGAGGUGAGCUGGGGGCCCCCAGAUUGUGCCCAGAUUGUCCCCACAGUCCCUGCUGUCCCUGCUGAGCCUCCUGGCCCCGCUGUCCCCAGGCCAAGAUCAAGCAGAAGCUGCGGGAGAUCGAGGAGAACCAGAAGCGCAUCGAGAAGCUCGAGGAGUACAUCGCCACCAGCAAGUGGGUGCAGGGUCCCUGGGGGCUGGGGGGUCCCCAGGGUGUCCCCAGGGGGCUGGGGGGUCCCUGAGGGAUCCCCA